rnacentral:tRNA from 1 species
UGGGUUAUAGCUCAGUGGUAGAGUGCUUGCCUCACAUGCAUGAGGCCCUGUGUACAAUCCUCAGCACCACAU